AAAACAACAGAAGACAUUUAGGGAAAAUGAUCCAUGGUUUAUCAUCUCGAGAGGGGGGAGAUGAGUGUUUAUUUAGUACAUACUGUAGCAGCACUAAAACACUCCAGACUUUCCAAGGCAUGAGGAGAAGGAGUGUGAGUAUAUACAAGCUACUAGGGAUUCCUUUGGUCGUAUAUUAUAUGCCCAUGGCAUUUUUUUGCCCAUUUUAUUGUCCGCCAGCUGUAAAUCGUCCAAUUGGUAAAAAAAAAAGUAAAAGCACACUUUUAUUAAACAAUUCACAUGAUUUUAGAUGUCAUUUAGCACAGACAAGCCCCAGAGUUUAAUAUUUAAAGGGAUAGUUCACCCAAAAAUGCAUCUUCUGUUAUCAUUUACUCACCCUCAUGUUGUUCCAAACCUGUGCGACACAAAAGAAGAUUUUGGAAAGAAUGAUUAAGCUGUCCUAGGGUUUUGGACCGCAUUGACUUUCAAUGUAUGGACAAGAAAAACAUCAAGAAAGAAAUGCAUACAGGUUUGGAAUAACAUGAGUGUGAGUAAAUUAUGACAAGUUUCUUUUUGGGUAAACUAUUCCUUUAGGGUUUUAAGGGGUUAAAAGGGGCGAUAGUCUUGAAGGGCAGCAAAAUUAAUUUGAUUUAUUGAAAUAUAUUUAUAUAUUUAUUUACAAAUAGAAAUUUUCAGCAAAAAAUUCAUAGUUCUCAUUAAAUUAUUUUUAUUGUAAUAGAGUUAAAAUUAUAUUUUAAUAUAUAAAUAUAUAAAAUAUUUAAUAUUAUAUUAUAAUAAUAAUUAUUUAUUUUAAUAUUAAUAAUAUUAUUUUAAUAGUAUUAAAAAUUAUGAAUACAUUUAUUAAUGUUGUUGUUGUUGAUUAUUAUUAUUAUUUUCCCUUUUUGGAGCUUUUCAGUCCAUGGUCAAUAUUUGAUUUUGUAUUAUGGAAAAUAUCAUCAUGAGCUAAACAUCAGAAGAAAAAGUCAUACAGGUUUGUAAGGAAAUGUGGGUGAAUAUGAUGACUUAAAUUAAGUAAUAUUUACUAAAUAAAAAUAUUUUAAAUAGUAGCAUUUUUAGUAGUAGUAAUAAUAAUAAAAAAUAUUAUUAUUAUUAUUUUAUAGUCAUAUUGAUAUAAUCAUAAAAUUUUUGGCCAAAUUGUGCAGCCCUAAACAAACACAGCAAACCUGAAGCUUUUUUUUUUACUCACAUUUUAAAUCACAAUUGCAUUUUUUGCAUCAGAAUUUUUUUUGAUUAUUUUCCUAAAUCAUGCAGCUCUCAGUAGUAUUAAUUCAAUUGCACAGCUUCAGAUGUUUACUAUGGAAGUUGAAAAAAGCUUUAACAAGUUUGGAUGCUGUGUAGGCGCAACAUUUAAACUCAUUAAAUGUUUAUAGUGAACAAUAAAAUGAGGAGAAACUCUGAGAAAGAGCGGCCAAAUGGAGAUAAGUGUGAAAACGAGUGAGGAAAUUAGCCAUUUGAGAAAGGAUGUAGGCUGGAACGGUAGAUUCUAAAAAUAAGGAUAAGAAAACAGUAGUAUUUAUUAGGAAAAGGAAGAACUGGGGGCUUCACAAUAUUUCAAGAGAUGGAACAUUUGAUUUUGCCAUUACAGGAAUUUCCUGGCAGAGAAGCCCUCUAACCUGGAGCAGCACGAUAAACAUAAACAGAUGGGGGAAGGAACGGCCCUGCUACUGGAUGUUACAACCGGGAGGCGGAUGGACGGGUGUGCAUGGAGAAAAAGGGGGGAGAUACACUUCCAGAGGCACCUAAUAAAAGACACACACACGCAAGGCAGGUUGAAAUCCAAUAAACGCAGCGACGAUAAUCAGAAGCACUCGGUACAAGGAGCCCGUGAGGCCCGCAUUCGCUAAUGAGGACCAGACAGAAGACGUAAAUGAUCACCUUCCAUGCAAAAACUAAAAAUACUAUGGGAACGCAGAGGGGUUUCCCAUCCUCUAUUUGUGAAGAGCUGCCUUCCUGACUCUAAAUGUGAGUUUUCAAGUACCUGCGUCACUUUAACUUCCCUCUUUGUGGUCUGAAUGACCUGACUUCCACUCCUUUUCAUGCUCAAGGUUUGUCACGACUCACGAGGGUUUGUUUGUGCACAUUUUAUGGCUUCCCAUAUGGGCCCCAUGUGUUGGUAUGUGUCUUUGCCUGUAAAGGGCCGGCAAUCUGUUUGUUUACCACCAUGUACAUGUGAUUACAUGUUCUGUAUCAGUGGGCAAUCAUGGGAAUUAGAAGUAAUGGAAAGCUGUUUUUCCAUGCCUAUAGGUUUCAGGAAAAAAGCAGCCGUUUCAUCACAAUUUCAGCACUCAGAGUUUCCCAAUUUUAUAGCGCCAACACCCACUUUACAACUUUUCCAUGCAGCGCUCCCACACUGCGUCUCCCUGCCAGCUUAGUGCUGCAUCUCAAGAAAUCAAUCCAUCGCAACGUUCGUGAGACUGUGAACGAGGGUCCCUGAUGUAUUUACGGCAUUCCAAAAAGCUUGGAAAGAAAUCCUCAGUGGAAGAGGAAUUUCCAAAAAAAAAAAUGCUAUUAUAUCCAUGGACAAAUACAAUGAGGCCCUUGUGUCCUCAUCUGGUGUCCGCUAAAGGUUCCUUUAUUUAGAGCGUUUUUGUGCAAGAGCUGAUCGUUUUGAAUGGAAACCACAUAAUGUCUGGGGUUAAAGCUAGUAAAGCGCCCGUGAUCUUUUUCAUUCAGCUCAGACUUAGUCAUCAGUGUUGUGAGUAAGCAUGGAUAAAGGCCACUGGGCGGACUUACUGACUUAAUGUCAAUGGGUGACAGCUUAUUUUCCCAUGGGAAGAAGCAGAAGCAGAGGUUGCAUGCAUUGAAGUCAAAACAGAGCCUUGAUUCAGAGGGGUGUUUAUAAUUGCACGCACAUCAACAAGGAGUUAGGAUGUUAGCUUAAUGAUGUUUACUGGUAUACUGUAUUUCAUUUUAUAAUGCCCCCUUUACAAGAUGUAAUAUAAGUCUCUGGUGUCCCCAGAAUGUGUCUGUGAAGUUUUAGCUCAAAAUACCCCACAGAUCAUUUAUUAUAGCUUGUCAAAUUUGCCCCUAUUUGGGUGUGAGUAAAAACACACCAUUUUUGUGUGUGUCCUUUUAAAUGCUAAUGAGCUGCUGCUCCCGGCCUCCUUUCCAGAAGAGGGCGGAGCUUUAACAGCUCGUGCUUCGGUUGUAGGUAGCGGGAAGUUCAGAUCAUUUUACUGACUCGGAUCUUUUCAACUCUCGUGUCUUCAUGUUCGGGUUGAUCUGGGCUGUGAUGCAAUGCAUGCAGUACCGGAAACAAAAAUGAUUAGUUCGCCUCUUGAGCCUUUGGGUUCGAAUCGUUCGUUCAUCAGGUCACAGCCCCAUAGGCUGAAUGCAGAAACAGAAAUGAUUAGUUCAUCUCUCGAGUCUUCAGGACUGAGUCCUUCGUUCUUUUGUCACGCGACCGCUUCCCAGCUCAGUGUCUCGCAACAAAUAUAACAUUACAUUUGUAUUGACUGUAUGUUGUAUUAUAUUUAGGAAUGAUCAUAAUUAUCAAAAGAUAUGUGCAAUAAACAUUAAUGUUAUGCCACUAUAUCCCUUCUGACCAAUCUUUUUAUACAAAUAUUAGACCAAUAUGUCUUCAUGGGAAAAUCAAUUAUUAUACUAGCUAAAAAACAAAAAACUAAACAAAAAAAAAAACUACGCACUUGUAUAAGGUAGGUUGUGAAUGAACUAAUUUCUGUAUCCAAUACGGCUGUCAUGUCACGUGGGAAAAAAAACGAAGGACUCAGACCCAAAGACUUGAGAGAUGAACUAAUCAUUUCUGUUUCUGCAUUCAGCCUAUGGGGCUGGGAUUUGAUGAACGAACGGCUCGAACCCGAAAGACUCGAGAGGUGAACUAAUGUUUUCUGUUUUGUUUAAUUUCUAUGGAAUGUUGCAUAUGCGCGGUCAACCCAAAAUGAACGAAUCGCUCUCUGAGACAACUCGCUGUUCCCGAGUCAUAUUAAAGAUUCAUUCAAAAUGAACGAAUCGUUCAUGAGCGAUUGUUCAACAACAACAAAGCUGGAGAAUCUCACGCAGCCAAAAUGAGGAUUGUCAGUAACGGUGUUCAGCCUUACAUUGUUCAAACCGGAGUCGACACUGAUGGAGAGACUCAGGAGGAAGUUAACACUUUUAGAAUGAAACUGGACGUUUCUGAACGGUUAGUGGAUAAAUUUAUGUAGUUGCUGUGGAGUUGAUUCAACUCAUCGACUAGCAUGUGCCGUCAUGUUAAUCUUUUGUGCAAAUCCAGCGUUGAAUUGACCCUCGUUUGUGAAGCAGUCUGGUGUAAAAUGGCGGCAUGGUAACAACACUCUACUACAGCAACUCUUCCUCUUCUCUAAAGCAGCCCAACAUGGCCUCACCCCCUUUGUUGCAUGUUCUCAGGGGCGGGGUUUAUGUACAUUUUAGGAUUAGUGAUGUCACCAACCCGGGAAGAAGCUCGUUGUAGUCCCUACCAGCCAUUUGUUGUAGUCCAUAAAAAGCGAUUUCUGUAAAAGGAAAUAUCCAAAGACUAUAGAAUAACACAAAACGCGUCACUCGUAUUAUUUUGAAUGGGAGAACGCGCAAUAUGGCGUAAUAAGUCCCGCCUUCUAAAUAAGAGGCAAUCUCAGAUUGGUAAAGUCAUCGCGUCACUGCAGCGGCCGUUAGAAGCUCCGGUUCGAAACAAUCAGACGUGCGCCUCCGAAAUGAGACACAAGAGACGCGCAUAUAGGUCUGCACAUGCGCAUUAGCUUGAUACAGCCUGAAAAAUACCGUUUUUUGUCAUGAUUCGAACAUUUAGAAACAAAAUUUAUGAGACAGUUGUUGUCAGAUUUCAUUGGUGAUUUCAAAUAUGAAAUUUAAUCGAAAGCUUGGCAAACAGUUUUAGAGAAUUUGAUGUUUCCCCAUUCAAAGAGAUAGAAGCUGCACUUGAAUGCCCGAGAAGCGUUUUAAAGAUGGCU